CCCUUAGAUGUCCUGGGCCGCACGCGCGCUACACUGAACGGAUCAGCGCGUUUUCCCUUCCCGAGAGGGACGGGUAACCUGCUGAACCCCGUUCGUGGUAGGGAUCGGGGCUUGCAAUUAUUCCCCGUGAACCAGGAAUGCCCAGUAAGUGCAAGUCAUAAGCUUGCGUUGAUUACGUCCCUGCCCUUUGUACACACCGCCCGUCGCUACUACCGAUUGAAUGGUCCGGUGAAAUCUCCGGACUGGCGUGAGUCGGAGCAAUCUGACAAACGCCGGAAAGUUGAUUAAACCUUACCAUUUAGAGGAAGGUGAAGUCGUAACA
rnacentral:rRNA from 1 species